UACGGAGGGUGCAAGCGUUAAUCGGAAUUACUGGGCGUAAAGCGUGCGCAGGCGGUUUGUUAAGUCCGCUGUGAAAUCCCCGAGCUCAACUUGGGAAUUGCAGUGGAUACUGGCAAGCUGGAGUAUGGUAGAGGAAGGUGGAAUUCCCGGUGUAGCAGUGAAAUGCGUAGAGAUCGGGAGGAACACCAGUGGCGAAGGCGGCCUUCUGGACCAAUACUGACGCUCAUGCACGAAAGCGUGGGGAGCAAGCAGG
rnacentral:rRNA from 1 species